rnacentral:lncRNA from 1 species
AUGGAGAUAAUUCUUCAGUGUCAUUUUCCAAAGCUGACUAUGUGUCUACAUUCACACAAACACACCUCACUGCCCCUUGUCUCAGUAUCUCUCAGUUGUACCAGCACUCUUUACCUUAAAAGAUGCAUGAAGAAAGAGCAGCUGUGGAAGCCAAGGAACAAGGAAUGCAUUAACAAGCUCAGAAGUGAACUGUUUGAGAGUACUAACUGGACACCAAGAGUGAGGGAAAUGGAUCUACAGCAUCCCCACCCUUUUCUGGUCAUUACAUCCUGCUCCCUGGUGAAAUGUCCUUCCAGAACAGCUCCAGAAAGAAUGUUUAUCUUGUAAGAAUCAACACAAUGCAUUUCAGUGUCAUUUUUGCUUUGACUGGAUCUUCACAAAAUUAAUUUCAACUGCAAUCUUUUCUUGACUAAGGAGACCUGAUAUUGAGGGUAUAUUUAAAAGGGGAAACUUUCUUUCCAGUUUCAUUAUUAGGUUGUUCCAUAGGUUUCCAACUAAUUCAAACCAAAGUAAUUUCCUUAUAAAACAGAAUAUAUUUUAAAAUAUAUUAUUCAUGAUAUUUUUACCAUUGCUUCACAAAGAUAUCAAAUGUAAUCAUCCCACAACCUAUCUUGAAUGCCUAUCAACUGCUGAUAACUAAAAUAUUUAUAUCACUUUACAAUCGUGAUACCAAAUACCUCAUGAAACAGGGAACUACAUCUCUAUCUACCACAUUGAUAAAGAGCUUUAAAGAGAAAAAAUGAACAGGAAGUAUCCCUUAGAGUUCCUGGGGGAUGGGGUUUCAAAAGCCCAGCUUUACACAAGCAAUUGAAUAACCUGUUCUGAUGCCCAAAGAAAGCCCUGUGUAGGUGUCAGCAUGGAGAGCCUGGCACAGGUCCACAAGCAGCUGUGGGUCUUUGUGCUGGGCUCCCUUCCACAGCUGGGUAGGGAAGUUUCUCCAAUAAAAAAGGGGAAAACUAGGAAUACA